AUAAGCCUGGGGAGUACCUGGAGAUCCAGUUUGAGGAACCUGUUGAGAUUACCUCCAUAACCACCCAGGGAGGAGGUGAUGAGGGUUUUGUGACCAGGUACAAGGUGGCGUACUCUGUAGACGGGGAGGAGUGGACAUUUGUCACUGAACCUGGGACUGAGGAGGGACAGGAACCAGUGGAUAAGCUUUUUGAAGGCAACACUGAUGGAACCACCCCAGUAACAACAGAGUUGUCAGAACCAGUGGAGGCCAAACUGGUCCGGAUCUUCCCUGAAG